rnacentral:miRNA from 1 species
GCAGACACAUUCCAGCCAAUCAGCAGCAGACCCUCCCUCCCAGACCCUCCCACUUCCUGGACAGCAUCCAUUUUACAUUCAUUGUGAAGCUGCAUUCUUAGUGAGCUGUCAAGGAGUUGGGAGGGUCUGGGAGGGAGGGUCUGCUGCUGAUUGGUUGGAAUGUGUCUG